AUAAAUAGCUAUUGAACUGAGGCCGUCAUCACGAUCGUGUCUGCGUUUAUGUCACUCCACAGCUCUGAUGAAUGCAGUCUGUACAGGGAGCAGAGGGCUGUAACCUUGGAUGAUACUCUUACACUUGCGAAUCUUUAGAGUUAUCUUGAACAGUAAGCUGUCCUUCUGCAAUGAAUCCCUGACAAUCUAUUAGUUCAGCCGUGCAUUUACUGAAAAAUAAAUGCUUUCUUCUGUGAGCAGUGGGAAAGCCACAGCGGCAAACAAAAAUCAUCCAUAUUCUGCAGUCCUAAACCAAAAGACUUGUCGCUUCCUGAGCCAGAAUUGCCCAGCGCAGAUGCAGGCAGCCAGUGAAACCUUCUGCAUGGGAAGUUAUAUGGGACUAAUUUGUGUCCUACACCAAGUUUCCAACACUGCUCUUCUCACCGGGGCUUGAAGUGGGAUUACUGUGCUCUCUGUUGAGUAUAAUAUAUAGUAUCUAUUUGUAAAAAAUACAACCUAGUGAUAAAAUGCUCGCCUAGAGAGUGAGAUAGAGUGGUCUGGGCUCUUCACAGCUUGCAGUGAUUUAAAACCACUUCUGCAGUCCAGAAAAACUGGCGAUUGUGAUGGGGGGAAAAAUGCAGUCUACCCUUUGCUCUGUCAGCUCCGGCGUUUAGGUGGAUGCUCAGAUAAGGUCCCAAUAGGUUGUAACUAACCUCCCCCAGGAGACAGCACUCUGCGAGGAGGGAGGCGAGGGCGAGAGCCGGGAGGGGGAGCAGGACAAAGGGGCCGUGCUGCAGCGUGUUUAGCCCUGUUUGGGGGCUAGCGGGGGAGACCCUGGAAAGCAUUGCACUGCCUUCCUUGUGGGGGAGUUGCUAUAACCCUGGGAAGGCUCGGAGCCUGCCUUCUUCCCACGUCUCAACCUCUUCAGAUUAAAACCUGCGUGCUUUUUUCCUUUCAGUGGAAAUUAACAGCUGUGAGCAGGCAUAAAUUUUUGGCAGAGGGAGAAGGCGGCAUUCCCUACCCCAGACUGUCCCAGGGGGGAUAUGGUUCAAUUUGCUGCAAGCAUGCAAGCUGCAAUUAGCAUCACCUGUAUAGGGGAAUAGGUGCUAAGUCAGUGUUAGGAGAGGAAUGAAAAAUAUUAGCACUGAACAGGAAUAUUCAAGCCUGGACACUACUGGGGGUGUGUGUGUGUGAAUAAAGUUUUAGCUGGUCCGGAUCUGUCCAAAACACUAUCACAUUGUAUUACGGUACUUAAUAUCAGCUAGUACUUCUCGUUAAAUUUGCAGCUAACAAACACAGAGGUGAUUGUUGUCAACUGAAGAAAUAACGGUGUCAUCGGAAAGCACUUUUUUAAAAUGAAGAGCUGUAAAAUGAUGCUAUGACAACAAUAUAAUGGGGUUACUGUUCAUGACAAUUACAGACUCUGAAUAAUAAAUGAGAGAAAAAUGGAAAAUAUAAUGUUUUUUAAAAAAUGGAAAACGUAAUGAAUGAAAGGGGAGCAAAAAGUUUCUAACCGAUCCUUUUCCCAGAGAUCACUCAGAGCAGAUCUCAUGCAGAACAACCUAUCUUGGAUGAAGAUGCAAUUAGCGUAUGUUCAGUCUGUGCAACAGUCCCUCACAGCUACAGCAGCGUAUAUGUCUGUAGAUCCAUAUUGUUGCUUGCUCUUGGGCUUAUCUCCAUCCAGGCUUGAAACCCCACUCAGAAUAUGUCCUGACUUCACAGUAUGGAAAUCAUGCUGCCUCGCCUAUAUUGUUGCCUUAAGCUAACCUCUGAAAUGACGGCUCUCUAGACCGUCCUGGAAGUGAGUCGAUAAUGCUUUUGCCUUAUCAAAGCAUUUCUAAAAUCAGAUUUAUCUAGAUAGCUAGAUAGUGAAAUAUUCAGUAUUCUAAUGGAGUUUCAUAAUUUCAUCUAUUGUCACUCUCUACUGUGACUGUAGCCUAUGUAAUUUAAUUAGCCAUUUAUAACUGUAGUACAUAAUAUAUUGUCAUGGUUUAACCUCAGACAGCAACUAAGCACCCCACAGCCACUCGCUCACUCCCACCCCCAGUGGGAUGGGGGAGAGAAUCAGAAAAGUGAGAAAACAUGUGGGUUGAGCUAAAGACAGUUUAAUAGGUAGAGCAAAAGCCACGUGCGCAAGCAAAGCAAAACAAGGAAUUCAUUCACCACUUCCCAUCAGCAGGCAGGUGUUCAGCCACCUCCAGGAAAGCAGGGCUCCAUACACAUAAUGGUUACUUGGGAAGACAAACUCCGUAACUCCAGACAUCCCCCCCUUCCUUAUUAGUAACUGCUGGCAGCUGGAGUCUAGCCUCCAAUCUUCUAGCAAAGAGUAACUUCAUUUACCUGAGCUGACCCCUCCUGAGAGGCCCUUACGCUGAAUUUAUCCAGUACUUCUGAGCUCUUGCUUUAUGUUAAAAAAAAAAAAAAAAAAAAGAACUUAUUACCUCUAAGCUUGUUGCAUUUUUAUCAGGGAAAGUUUUAAUGAGAAAGUUUAACUUAUCAAUGUUAAGGUUUCUCCUAAUUAUGUGAAAAGCGUUUUUUUUUUCCCCAGCAGUUUCUGUUAUCUGGUACUCCUGAACUAGCGGGUAGCAUCCACGAAUAGUGUUAUACUGCUUUAGUCUUUAAAAAAAAAAAAAAUUAAGAAGUUAUUGACUACUAUAGCAUUUAUAUUCAUGGGCACAGUUAAAACAGACACUUAAGAGCUGCAUGUUGUUUCCGUAGUUCCAGAAUUGGAAUAGCUCAGCCUUUCUGCUAUAGCAUAUGCUGUUUCAGUAGCAAGACAAUUUAUGAUUCAAAAUAAUACACUUGACAACAGAAGUGAUCGGUCUAGGUCACUUCUAGUAACUUAAGCAUGUAUUCUUGCUCGUUGUUACAAAAAAAACCCCAAAGCUAAUUAAGACCUCGGCAUUCAUUCCUGGCAUGCCGUCUGUUUUCACAUGCUGGCUGUUUUUAUUUUACAGGCCCAUCAUGAGCUGAUAUGGUAGUCACUUUUUUUUCCUACUGAGUGAGUAAAUUACAAAUCCUGGAGCAGGGCUCCGUACGCUGUAAUUCUUGCCCAUAAGACCUAUGAGAUAUGUUCAAACUGAAUGAUCCACUACUCGGAGGAGUGAUGGCUUCUUUUAUAGGCCUCUUGUUCUUGUAGACAAUAAACCACCGAUACAGACUAUGAAGACAAGGACAUGUUCACCAUAUUUUGGUCUUUUCCUGAGUCGGGCACGUACUUUUGUCUGCGCUGUGCAACUCCUCACGCCUUCAGGACCAACUAGGUCCUGUCACUAGUAGUGUUAUUUUUUCGCCAGUCUAUGCUUUGAAUAUUAAAACUCUGAUGAUUUCUGGUAACGUUUGUGCCUCUCUUUAAGGCAAAUAUAAAUAUGUAUUUCAUACUCAACCCCUUUUUAAAAGAGGUUAUUGUUCCUCCUCAUAUUCAUCUGCCCAGAAAAUGUUUUUCUUCUUCCAGACAGACUCUACCUCCUAUUUCCUCAGUCACCUUGUAAAUGUAGAGCAUUACCGUACAGAGAAAGCGCAGCUUUUUCACUGACUCUAUGACUUUGACAAUUGCACUUACUGUAAUUUUUCUUCUCUCCUGUCCAUCUUGAAAGAUCCAGCAAUGUUAUUUUAUCCAUUAUGUGACCUUCUUGCUUGGCAUUCCUUUGUAUUUGCUCUAAAGCCAGGCACGAAGAAUUGAACAAGGCAGGGAUGCGUGGGAAAGGAGAGGCCAGGAUUGUUACAGGUGGAGCACAAAGCAGGCGAGUCUGGGAAGUUCUGGUCUGUGACGCCGCGUUGAGCACCCUUGCAUUGCAUGCCUGUCCGAAGGCUAAAGGAUAACACACACGCUCAUGACUUCUUCAUGACUAAAAUUAUCUUUCAUUCAUAAAAGCAAGGUGAGGUACGACAUUUUUUUUUAUACUCGUGCUGGAUAUUAUGAUUGCAAAACCCCCACCGUCAAUACCACCAGCCCCCGCCACAGGCUUCACCGGGUUUCUACUACUGAGUAGUAUGCUUAUAAUUUUGUGUGGCAAACUGUUUUCACGUAUUUAAAUAUAACGUCUGUCUAGGUACUGAUUUUAUUUUCCUGUUUAAUUUAUUCUCCAGAUUCUCUGGCUUUCAGUCAAUGCACUGGAUGAUUGAAUUAUUAUCCCAAUAAUGAGGUUUGACACAAUCUAUGCCAGUUACCUAUGUGACCUGCUAAGUAGGUUAAUUGGCAACCCUGAAUAAUUAUCAGCCGCCUCAUCUUGCUGACUGAGGGUCGACAAUAAAUGAAACAUAAAGAUUCUGAAAAAGACACACAGUUUUCCAUUUCAACUUCUGAAUUGUUCCAAGGAAGCCUUUUAACUAGUAGCUUAUUCAUAAAAUGCAGCAAUUAAAAAAAUAUCUUGUGAACAUUUUGGUCAUAUAAAAAUAUAGAUGCUUGCUCUUCUGCAUCAUCAUGCCUUCCUAGGAGAAAAAUCUGUGGCAUAUUAGAUAAACAGGUCCCUCUAUUCUGCAAAUUGCUCGUAUGAGUGAAUUGUAUCCUCAGAGAGCAAGCUCAGAAGCAAGGAAGAUUCAAGAAGUCCAAGUGAUAUUUGUGGUGGCAUUGCAAGGAUCAUGUUUUAAUGCUUUUUUUGUGAAAUCUUGCGAACUAGAAAUUAACUUUAUUGUUCAAUGAAAGCUGUGGUUCUUCUAUUCCCAUUUCUCAGGAAAUAGUCAAGAAAAAUAAAUAUUAUGCUACCUGGUGACACUGAUACGUAUUAUAUAUCUAUUUAUCUUUUCUACCUUGCUCCUUUCUGAAAAGCCAAAAUGAUAUUUCUUUCUGCCCUAGAAAACAGAAGAUUGGAACUUAGAGAGGAAGCUGAAUGGACUCCUAGGGAUGAGAAGGUGGGGAAAAAUAUGUAAGAUAUAAACUUGUGGUCUUUUCACAAGCUAAUCAGCCCAAAUUAGUGGUUCAGAACCACAGACUUAGGCAGACUUCUCCCAAAGUCAGUCCUCUGCCCUGGCCAGAAAUCCCACCAAAACUUGGGGCAGGAAGAACAAUCAAAGAAUCCAUUUCUUGUUAUCAGCAGUUAAUGACUGCAACACAAAGUGUCUUCACAGAGACACUUUGGAGAGCCCUGCUUGUGCUCCCAGCCUGCAAGGAAGAGCUGCUCUGCAUACAUUUCCAGGUGGAAAAUGUUUCCAUUUCGAAGCACAUGCUGUAAUGGAAAGCAGAGCGUGUACUUUCCUGCGUCCGGAACAAGGACUCUGCACGUAGAGACCCAUUCCAAAGCCAUUGGAUCUUUCAGUCGGUUUAUGAGCUUUGGAGCGGGGCGAUACAAUUCAAGAGAGGAUCCUGGCUACGAUGAAAUCACUUAAACCUGAGCCUUAGCAAGUGAGCAGAGCUCAGAUUUUGAGAGCGCCCCACACGUUAAAACCAAACAUACGCUCAAGUGCUUUACUGGUUCAUGGCCACAUUGAAUGAACACCUACAAUGACCUAAACGGAUUUACUCCCCAACAAAUUUACCCGUUCCUUUCCUCCUACCUACACGUACAUUUGUACCUCAGCUAACCACUUAUGUCUCUAUUUCCUACAUUCUACUUUUAUUGAAAAUGUUAUGGCUUGCUUAAUUUCCUCUAAGCAUGGCUUUAAUUCCCUCUUAAUUUCCUCUAUGAUUCAUCAACAGGGCUUUUUUACCCCUACCCAAAGAAUUUCAAUUUUACUGAACAAAUUUAAUCAAAGCAAAAUUGUUAAUCAAAGCAAAAUUUAAGCAAAGCAAAACAAAAAGAAAGGCUUAUUAAAGAAGCAAAGCUGUGCUGUCUCUUUGUGCUCCUUCAUCUUGCCUCUCUCCCCAUGAAAAGAUGAAGGAGGUGCUGAAGAUGCACAUCAGGUGAAACUACUGUCUACAAAUGGCAAAAAUAAUAUCUUUCACCGCUCUGCCUGUGGAUUUUUUUUGCCGAUAUGUGGUCCUGAUGUCUAAAAUUAUAGGCAUUUAGAUGUCAGGUAGCAGGAGAGAAAAGAAAAAAAGAAGAGGUAUUAUAGUAAAAUAGCAAAGAACCAAUGUCUUAGCAAUAGUUGUAAGGGGUUUUAUUCCUUAAAAAUAGCAUGGCUUUGUAAAGUUUUUAUCAUACCUGGUAGAAAAUUAAGGGCUGCUGAUAUUUUGCAACUCGUUGCUUGUUGAUUACAUAAGUGUUUUUGAAUGAAAGAGCACUGUAAGGUUCCGUCAGAAGCUAAGCUGACAUGACUUCUGCCUUUCCUUUUUGUUACGAUAGUCAAUAGCUUAGUUGUAAGGAAUAUAAUUGCUCUUUGUGACUGUAUUAGACAUUCUUUUGGGAGAGCUAGCUAAAAUUUGAGAACAGAAAAGCAUUUCUGGAAAAAAAAAAAAAAACACAACAACCCAGCAUGCCAGACAAAUCAAUAAUAAGUGGACGGAGCUGAAUCUGAGACUUUUGGGUUGGGUUAGAACCUAAAUCAAGACAGUAUUGACUCUAUAAAGCCUGGAUUUUUAGGGGUGGCUAUAUCAAAAAUCAUUAUUGCCUACUUGCUUUAUUUGAAAUCUUCCAUGCAUUUGUGCAAGCAGAUCCAUUCUGCAAUUAUAUUUCUUUUCUUGAGAUAAAGUCUUCUAUUUGGUAUGUGUAAAUUAACAAAAGGUGAAUUGUAUGUGAUAUCUCUCUACUAAUGACAUUUGCAAAGGAAAUGAAAUAUCUAUACAAAGUCUUCAAUGCAUAAAUUAUGUACAACUUAUAUAUAUAAAUUCUUUACAAGCUGUUCACCAUUACCUCAGAAAUGAUUGUUUUAUUUUCUGGAAAAAGGGUACAAGCAUACAUUGAUCAUCAGAAUGUGAAAGCAUAAACCGUGGGCAUUAAUGAUUUAAUACUUUGCCUUUAGGCAGUUUCCCACCCAAGAUCUUCUUACUGUAUCCAAUACAUCCAAUACUACAUUAUUGAAACGUACCACACCUUUGUGAGAGGUAGAUGUUUGUAUACCUAUAUUGCAGAUAAAGCUGCAAGAGCAAAUGCGAAUUUUACCUGUCUGUGCCCUGAGUUAGGCAUGAAUCUUGUGAUCCUGUGCUUGGCAAAGCACUUGGACUGAUCCUGACUGUUAGGAAAGCUCAGUGGGGCUUAGUACCUUAGGCACAGUUAUACGGUUCCUGUUCAGAACCAGUUUGUGCUGGCCAUUUCAGAGUGUGCGUAGGGAAAGCCUGUCUCUUUGUGCACUUGCCUAUGUAGAUGUGCUUUAAAUAAAUUUGGAAAUGAGAUUUCUCUGUCUUUGAACAUUUAGGGUGGAGAUAACGCAGUAUUAGCUUGCUAUAAAGCCACUGAAAAAUCUGAACCUGGUCUCUAGAGUUAAACCAUUGAGCACUCCAUCCUCAGGUCCCUGUCUUCUGCAGGUUUUAGAAUGAAAAAGCAUUGCUAUUAUUUUGAUUAACUGUUUUGUAGAGCAAAACCACUGCAUUCCCAGUAAACUCAUUAUGCUAGAAAAUGUAUCUACCACAGGUAGCAUUUUCUAACUCCUAAUGCUUCUAAUUUUUGCUUGUGCUACCAGUCUUUCCUGACCUAUCUCAUAAGUACUCUGUGUGUGGUAUUUAUGAGAUAAUAUCCAGGUAUGAUGUUUAAUCUCUUAGCAGGAAAGAAAAAACACGAUGCACUUACUCAGCAAUUCCUUGUGAAUAGUGCUUUGACGGUCUGAUUUCCAUCCCUUGAUAUGGCCAAAUUAUUACUUCAGCAAAACCGGUAUCCUGCAGUGCCAACACACACAGCUGAAGUGAUAAUAAUGGUUUGUUUUACACAUACAUAUGCACAUCCUCCAAAUUACAUUCCUAAGAAUAGAGGUUAGAAAACCUAUUUGAUAACAUGAGGGUGAAAGGGUUUUUUUUGUACAAUCAAUAAACACAUGCUGUUUGAUGCUUAGUAUUGAUUGCAUCUGCUUCUACAGAAGAUGAUGUAUAUUUAAGUGUAUAAAAUAAUUAUGUUAAAUACUAGCCCUGUGUUUUGAAUAGAAUAAAAUAAAAGUUCUGAGUUAA